UUUGAAAUUUAUAUUUUAGUAAAAAAGCUAAAAUUAUCUAUAGGGACGAGAAGACCCUAUCAAGUUUUACAAUCCAGAAUUUAUUUUCAAAUUAAAUUUAAAAUUGUUUUGCUGGGGCAGCAGAUAAAAAUUUUUUAUUUUAAAAUUAUGAUAAAUAAAUCUUGAAAAAUCAAAAAAUUUUUAAUUAAAAAUAAAUUACUGUAGGGAUAACAGCAUAAUUUUUUUAGAGAGUUCUUAUCAUCAAAAAAGUUUGUGACCUCGAUGUUGGAUUAAAAUUCCUAAUUCGUGCAAUAAUGAAAUAA
rnacentral:rRNA from 1 species